rnacentral:rRNA from 1 species
UACAGAGGUGGCAAGCGUUGUUCGGAAUUACUGGGCGUAAAGGGCGCGUAGGCGGACAGUUUAGUCAGAGGUGAAAGCCCAGGGCUCAACCUUGGAAUUGCCUUUGAUACUGACUGUCUUGAGUUCGGGAGAGGUGAGUGGAAUGCCGAGUGUAGAGGUGAAAUUCGUAGAUAUUCGGCGGAACACCAGUGGCGAAGGCGACUCACUGGCCCGAUACUGACGCUGAGGCGCGAAAGCGUGGGGAGCAAACAGG